CCUACGGGGGGCUGCAGUGGGGAAUAUUGGACAAUGGGGUGAACCCUGAUCCAGCCAUGCCGCGUGUGUGAAGAAGGCCCUCGGGUUGUAAAGCACUUUCAGUGAGGAAGAACGCCUGGUGGUUAAUACCCAUCAGGAAAGACAUCACUCACAGAAGAAGCACCGGCUAACUCCGUGCCAGCAGCCGCGGUAAUACGGAGGGUGCGAGCGUUAAUCGGAAUUACUGGGCGUAAAGCGCGCGUAGGUGGCUUGAUAAGCCGGUUGUGAAAGCCCCGGGCUCAACCUGGGAACGGCAUCCGGAACUGUCAAGCUAGAGUGCAGGAGAGGAAGGUAGAAUUCCCGGUGUAGCGGUGAAAUGCGUAGAGAUCGGGAGGAAUACCAGUGGCGAAGGCGGCCUUCUGGACUGACACUGACACUGAGGUGCGAAAGCGUGGGUAGCAAACAGGAUUAGAUACCCUUGUAGUC
rnacentral:rRNA from 1 species